AAAUAUAUUUUACUUAAUUAAUUGACAAACAAAUACACGUGAACUUAACUUGAUGAAUUAGGGUAUGGCUAUUCUUUGAGAUGGGCACUGGGGUAGAUAGACUCGUUAUAGUCUGCGUUAUAUUUGUCUCUGACCUCACCAAACAAGGCGGGGCUCUAAACAGGUGUGUUACACAGGUGUAAGGAGAGGAAAUGCAUGUCUUGAAAAACAAGUCAAUUCUUCCCCUGUCGCUAUCCAAAGGCAUACCACCAAGAGUCAAAGCAUGGCCUCGAACUGCGUGGGAACCUGCAUACCGUUAUUCGUUCUCGGUAUAGUUUUCGACGUUGUUGGUUUGAUAGUCUUACUAGUGGGAAUUUUUGGAAAUUUGCAUCUGAACGGGAGAUUUUAUGGAGACUUUUUAAUAUACACCGGCUCAAUCAUCGUCUGUCUCAGUUUGAUUUGGUGGAUAAUGUGGUACACAGGAAACAUCAAAGACUUGUCUCAGGAUUAUGACAAGAGCAGUCUGGACAGUUUUGCACAAUGGGUUGGAAAGUUUUCCGAAAGGCUUUCUAAGAGUGGAAUUAAAACUUUGAAGGCAGGAGAGAAGUGUAUUGGCAAGGAGUCGAUGAACGGAACAGUGCACGCUUCAACAAAAAUACGUUGGGAGAAUUCAGUAGUCGUUGGAUACGAUAACGAAGGAUAUGAGCAAAGUCUAGACUCUCCAGUGGAGAAAACUGUGGAACUGGGUAUUUUGAAGAAUUCCGAAGAACUGUUGCAGAUCAGUGUAGACGGGAAAGUUGAACUGUAGCCCUUACAGGAGGUCACUGGCUGCCUUUCACAUCAGCACUUACAAGACUGAACAUGGCAUUUUAAUGUUCUUAAUCUCUCUUUUUGGAUGGGUCUUUGAAGAAUCGCUGCUUUUAUUCUGUGGAUCAAGGGACGUUGCACAUUUCAGCGGAUAUAUGAACAUUUCAUUUGUAAAUUGUAAUUAUUUCAAUUAUGUAUUUUAUGUAUAUUAAAUAAAACAACUAUAUUUUUUAAA